CGCGGCUCCACCUCUUUAGCCUGCUAAGUCUUCCCAUCCUUGCCCAGCUGGUGUGGUGCUGGUGUUUCCGCACCUCGUCGCGUAGAGUCGCUGCCGAGUGGGCGCUCGGUGUUCGGGUCGUCAUGGCUGGUUACGAAUACGUGAGCCCGGAGCAGCUGGCUGGCUUUGAUAAGUACAAGUACAGUGCUGUGGAUACCAAUCCACUCUCUCUGUAUGUCAUGCAUCCAUUUUGGAACACUAUAGUCAAGGUAUUUCCUACUUGGCUGGCUCCAAAUUUGAUAACCUUCUCUGGCUUUCUGCUGGUUGUAUUCAAUUUCCUACUUAUGGCAUACUUUGAUCCUGACUUUUAUGCUUCAGCACCAGGUUACAAGCAUGUGCCCGACUGGGUGUGGAUUGUAGUGGGCAUCCUCAACUUCAUAGCCUACACUCUCGAUGGUGUGGAUGGAAAGCAAGCCCGGAGAACCAAUUCCAGCACCCCUUUAGGGGAGCUUUUUGACCAUGGCCUGGAUAGUUGGUCAUGUGUUUACUUUGUUGUGACUGUAUAUUCCAUAUUUGGACGAGGACCAUCUGGUGUCAGUGUUUUUGUUCUUUAUCUCCUGCUAUGGGUAGUUUUGUUUUCUUUCAUCCUGUCCCACUGGGAAAAAUAUAACACAGGGAUUCUUUUCCUGCCGUGGGGAUAUGACAUUAGCCAAGUGACUAUAUCUUUUGUCUACAUAGUGACUGCGAUUGUGGGAGUUGAGGCCUGGUAUGAACCUUUCCUGUUUAAUUUCUUAUAUAGAGACCUAUUCACUGCAAUGAUUAUUGGCUGUGCAUUAUGUGUGACUCUUCCAAUGAGUUUAUUAAACUUCUUCAGAAGCUAUAAAAAUAACACCUUGAAAUACAAUUCAGUCUAUGAAGCUAUGGUUCCCUUUUUUUCUCCAUGUUUGCUCUUCAUUUUGUCUACAGCAUGGAUCCUUCAGUCGCCUUCAGAUAUUUUAGAGUUGCAUCCAAGAGUAUUCUACUUUAUGGUUGGAACAGCCUUUGCCAACAUCACAUGUCAGCUGAUUGUUUGUCAAAUGAGUAGCACCCGGUGCCCAUCUUUGAAUUGGUUCCUGGUUCCUCUUUUCUUGGUUGUCCUGGUGGUAAACUUAGGAAUAGCCUCUUACGUCGAGAGCAUUCUCUUAUAUACUUUAACAGCUGUUUUCACUCUGGCCCACAUCCAUUAUGGAGUACGAGUGGUAAAGCAGCUGAGCAGCCAUUUUCAGAUUUAUCCUUUCUCAUUGAGGAAACCAAACUCAGAUUGACUAGGAAUGGAGGAAAAGAACAUUGGCCUGUAAUCUACAGAAAAAAGUACUGUAAAUAAGAUGCUUGUAAAUAUUUCAUCCAUCACCAUUGAACUAAAAAUGACCUGCUUAACAGACCUGGGAACUCAAGUUUGUAGAGUACUUGGACAGCAGGAGGGAUACAAAUGAUCUGAACUUAUGGAAUUUUGGACCUGCUAACUCCCAACUUAUUUUAUUUUUUAUAAAACCAUGUGGCAUUUUGGUUGAGCAUAAUGUACUUUAGAUAAGCAAAAUGUUUCUAGUGAGUUUAGCUUCAUGAGUCUAUGGUAUUUUGGUUCAUACAGAGUUAAGGAUGCUUUGCUUUUAUUUUUAAAGUCCCCAAAUAGGUUUAGGAACACUGAUAACAUUAAGAAAAUGGCAAAAUGUUUUCAUAUUUGGUACUACUUUAGUAGUAGGUCUUUAGCGGUGGAAGUUAUCAAUAGCCCAGAUCUAAAAUAAGGAAAAGGUAAGAGCAAGUCACCUUUAGCAAGAGAUGCCAAAUGAUCACAGAACUAUGAUGUACAGUUGCCAAAUACUGGUUUCUCUUUCCCAUGGAAAUGCCUUUUUUCCUCAUGCGCUGAGAGAGCUGGUAUAUAUAUAUUUAGAUUCUCUAGUGUUCUGGCUCUCUUUGUUUGGGAGAGAUCUUGAUAAAUGACUUAAUUUUCUUUUAAAGAAAAAUGUUCGAUUGACUUAGCAGAGAGUAGAUCAUAAUUGUAGCUUACCCAUUGACAUGGUUCAUCGUUUAAAUGUGGCAUUUCCCCCCUCAGCUGCAAGUUGCUGAGACUGGGUGCCCGAGAACUAUGUUUAUAUGAAUGCAUGUGACAGCCCCAGUCUUACGGUAAUUACUUGUAGGGAACACAGGUAAACUUCCUUAUAAGAGAAAUUUACUUUGGACUUAGAAAUCUCAUGAGCCUCACUAUGAAUUCCUGCUAUGAACCGUACUACAAAAUUAGUUUUCUGAUUCGGUUUGCCCUGCCUUCCUUCCUACCCUCCUUCCUUCUGUCCUUCCAUCUCUUUUUUAUGGAGGUGAGAGUGCCGUGUUUUUUAUUUCAUAAGGUUAAAGAAGUAGAAAUUCUUCCCUUCUUGACUUGACCGCUUCCCCGUUUGAAGAAAGUUUUUGAUAUAUAUGCCUUACUGAGUACCUACUGUCUUUAAUGUGACCUGGAAUAAUUUUUGAAGUUUACUGACAAACAUAAAAAUCCCUUUGAUUUAACUGUGGUUGAUCUGUAGAUUACACCUUUUCAUGAAUGUGGAUAUAUUAUUUCUUUUUGACUCUGUCUCCAUUUACUUUGGUGGUGGUGAAAUUUACUUGCUGAUUUUCUUUAAUUUUCCACUGAAUGAAGUUUGUGCUUGAAUGAAGAGUGUAUCUUAAACCCUUUUUUUUUUUGGAUGGAUUGCACUUGGAUAAAAUAGGCACCACUGUGUUGAUAUGUAAUUAAAUUUUUAACCAUUAUUUAUCUAUGAAUGUGACCAUUGUUAAAUUUAAUUAUAGUGUAUUCCUUUUUGAAUUUCAGUCUGCUGCUUUGUAAAAAUAACUAUGUAAUCGAUAUUUCAGUUUUAAAAUUUGUAAAUCCUAAUCAUUGUCAUCCAGGCUAUUAGAAAUGAGGAGUCAAGGAGCUAACUUACGGUUCUGUAUUCAUUUUUUUAAAAAUGGUUCAUAAAGAUUGAGAUAUAUUCAUUGACUUUUUCUGAGACUGAACAUGGUGAGAAAUGGAUGCUGGAAAAUGUGGAUAGUGAUUCUGUGUUAAUAAAUCGCCAUCAUGGAGGUCAGAGAAUGAACAAAUGAAGUAACGGUAACUCUAUUUUUUGUAGACCUUGUUUUUUGUCAUCUAUAAAAUUGAAUAGGAUUAAGUGGUAAUUUGGGCUGGGAACAAAGCUUUGUUUGUUCUAAGGUUUCUGAGCUAAUCAUUUUACCUUUUGCUGAUCUUGUACACAAGAAUAAGAUUAAUCUGUAUUAUAUAAGAAGAGAACUGAGAGAUGUUUGUAAAUGAAAAAUUUGGACCACAGGCUUUCUUCACCUUGUACAGUAUAGUUUAAAAAAAAAAAAAAUACCCUUCCAGUGUAGGGUCAUGUUCUAUACUUUUGGGGCUGUUUUACCUCAAGAGUGUCUUUCUGUUCUUUUUCCAUUGCAUCGAGUUUAUUUGAAAUGGUUUUGCGCGUUUAAUUCAUGACCUGUUUCUCUGUAGGGGUAAAGAAUUGCGCCAGUUUUAUUGACACCAUUAGAUGAAAGGUGGCUCUCAACAAGACGAAAGUGAAACUGAGUGAAGUACUGUUUGAGAAUACCGUGGACUUGUAAAUCUUCAGUGGACUUCUGACUUUUUCUUGGUUUAAUCUGCCAUCUUGAACUUACCUCAAAAGUCCCCAUUUGUUGUUUAGUGAUAUAGCAGCUGAAGCAGGAUUUAACUUGCAAAUAGCUCUGUGCAUUUGUGUCAUACCAAUUAUCAUAACAUUUCCAAAGUAUAAAAGAUACUUCAGGCUUAUGCAUGAUAUUUUGGGGUGAGUCUUCCACCCCAGCCUUUCUCCCAGCAUACACUGAGCCGCCUUUGGGGAGCAGUGGCAUGGUUGGUCAUACAUGCAUGUUUUCUGUACAUUUCAGAAUGGAGUGCCUUAGCCAGGCCAGAUGUUUGCUUUGUGUUUCUGCUGACCAAAGUUACCUAGACCUGUGAGAAGUUACUUGUCAGGUUAUGGUAUGAAAAAUGUCCUUUCCUGCUUGUCAGAAAUUAAUUCCCCUAUAUUUGAGGGGAGCAUGGGAUAGAAAAAUCCUUAAAAUGCCUGGAUAGAGUAUGUUGUUGCUGCCUUUUCUGAUCCUUUACUAACAUUCAUGAUCUUUAGUGCAUUACACAGUUUAAGAUCAUCACAGUUGAAACUGCCAUUCUUCCAUUUAUACAUAAUAGAUGUAGUUCAUGAGUUUUAGUUUCAAGUAAUGGAGUGAAUAAUUUCAAAAUAAAAACCUAAAUAGUCCUUGGCCUUUUAAUAAUAUCAUGCUUAAAAUAUUUUAAAUUCUAAUUUAAAAAAGCUCCAUGCUGAUUAUGGUCUAGAAUGUUCUACUACUACCAUCAUGUCAUUUAUUUUAAUAUAGAGGUAUGGGGAAGAGGAGUGUAUGUCUAGAGUUGCCCAAAUUCUAAAGAGGUACUGAGAAAGAAUUAAUCAUGACCUGGAGUCGGCUUUGGGGGAAUCUGGAAAAGAAAAAUCAGGCAUAGGGUCCACCUGAAGGAGAAGAAAGGAUCACCUUAAAUGCCCAGUGCCUAUAGUGCUCAAUGAUCCUAAUGCAGUGCAGAGUUUAAAAUAGUUAAAAUUUAAAUCGUCGUUCCGCCACUAACUUCAAAUUCAAAUGUGAAUUUGAAAGGUUCCCAAGUGUUCAGUUUUCAAAGAAUUUAUUUUGUAGUCAGUCAAAAAACAUUUGGAGUGUUCCUUGCUUUCCAAAGUUGACUUUUCUUCUAUAACCUGUGGAAAAUAAAAAGAUAAACUGAAGGUGUUUGAAUCAAAGGGUCUCUUUCCCCUUUAUAUUUUAACUAGAAGCCUCUGUGUAACUCUUCCUUUUCAUUCUUCAGCCAGUCUCUCUUUUGACUUGCUACACCUAGGACAGAGACGCCCACUUGCUUUGAGCACCUAGGUCUUGCCACAUUCCAUAUCUCCUGGAUUGCCUUAGAUCUCUUGACAUGUCAAGGACUGGGAACGUGCCAGAGGGAACAGAGUAAACCGAUAGGCUAGAACUUUUGACUUUGGGUCCCCAAAAAAGCCAAAAACAAAUACAGAAAUCUUUGGUUGUGUUGAGUCCUGUGUUCAGAGUGGCUUUUAUCUUGACCUCAGUUCUGGUCUUAAUUGAGUUCUCUAUAGGAGAUAUCUGGUCAGAUUAGAAUUUUCUUUGUCCUGUGAGGUGUCUUUGUAAGAGCAGGCCCUUUCUUGAGCACCCUCUGGGUGAAUAACCUUCCUAAGUUAGCUGCCAGUACUAGAACCUUCCAGAAGGAAUUUUAAUUAGUAUGCUGCAUUUGAAGCACUUUGACAUGUACAUUUUAAGUGAGUUUUAACAGUAAAACGGUGUUAAACUAAUCACUGUGAAACUUGAAAGUGUGAUGCUCUGUACAUCUUAGGAAGCUUAAGUAGAUUUCUGAUUUUUCCUUUAUUAAUUAGGUAACCCAUGUGAUUUGCAUAUUUUACUUUUCAUCUUUGACAGUGGCACAGAUGACUGACAUAUUGGUAGGCAGUUACAUUAGGGUGUAUGGUAAAUCAUGGUUGUGUAGCUUUUUCAGAGAAAGUGUCGACAUGUUCCUUUUGUGGAACCAUGGGAGUGGGAUUUAUUGGCUACUGCAAAAUAAAUGUAACCUUACUUUUUAAUCCACUUGCUAAUAAUAUGCUUCGCUCUUUAAUAAACAAGUGUGCAAGAGAUAGUAAUCUAGCUGGGUUUUUGUUUUGUUUUUAGGCAGGGACCUACUCUUUAGACAGAUCUUAAAUGAGCUUAUAUUUAGGGAAGCAAAAGAUGUUCUGUCAUUUGUAACCCUCUCACAGGUGGCCUGAGUGAGGGAGUGGUGUUUCAUUUUGUCAGAAAGGCCAGGUUCCCAGAAUUGGAAAAUAGUACAUGGACUGAUUUUAGAAUAUUUCAACAAAGCCUUAUCUCUGUAGGAAAGUCCAUUUGGACCUAACAGAAGGUUUGUCUGGUCUUCUACAGACCCAUUCAUGUUGUUUUACUCUUCACAGAAUCAUUUUUAGAAAGGUAGGCUAAAUCAGAGUGGUGCUGUUUUUAAACCUUGUGAAUUGGAUCAUGGCCAUAUAGUACCUAAUGUGACAUGGAACUCAGAGACAGUAUUAAAGAUACCAGGUGUGGGGGAGCCUGGCUGGCUCAGUUGGUAGAGCGUGCGACUCUUAUUCUCAGGGUUGUGUGUUCGAACCCCAUGUUCAGUGUCGAGAUUACUUAAAAAAAAGAAUCUUAAAAACAAUACCAAAUAACCAGGAAUGGCUAACUGCCAGGAUGCCUGAUGGCUCUUUGGCUAAAGUCUUCUCUUGACCAGUUUCUGUGGAUAAUGAUUAAGAUUAGACUUGAUUUAUUUUUUUUUUUUUAAUUAAAACACACACAAUUUGCCAUCAGUCUGAUAUUCUUGACAAGCAAUUUUUUUUAAAUCUCUAAAGUAAGUUCUUCACCUUACUUGGGACCUGCUUAGUUAGUAUGUGAUGUUAUUAACCCGUUAUGGGAGGAGUUUUCAUUUUGCAAGAUCUGUGAAUGUUGCGUUUUAAAUCUGUUUGAAUUACUGGUAUCAUUCAGCAGCAGGCUCUAACAACUGCCAGUUACAACUGCCCACAAUAUUAACACUGUAGGUUAUUUUGCUUAGCUAACUUACCCUAUUAGCUUUCAAGAGACAAAGUCCCAGUGACAUGUAAUGACUUGCUCGUUCCAAAAUGUGCCAAGAGAGUGGACUUCAGUAUUAAACUCCAAAUUUCAAUUGUUUAAAAAAAAAUGGCAUUUUUCUCUGGGUAAUGGGGAGGCAGUGAAUUACUGCCCAGGUGCAAACUCCCUACCACCUACCUUGUCCCCUUACCCUUCCACCCAGCGUAUAAUAGGUUAAAUUUGCAGGAAUUUAACUGUAGGUAGAGAAGUUGGUACUUUUCCGAGUAAGGCUUCAUGCCCUGUGACUAAGAAGAGGUGGCGGGAAUCACGGCCGAAUCAGUCACUCAGCUGUGUCGCUUGAGCCAUUGCAGUUUGCUUUGGGGAACAUUCUGAAAUGAAAGGAUGACUCCUUCCCUUCUCAGGUCCCUAGAAACAACCCCACUUAAGCAGCCGGCAUGUGGUAGCGACAAGUAGAGUAUAUUAGAGUGGAAGAUAAAGGGGAGCACAAAGUCUUUUGUUUCCUCUUUCAAGUCGUUCCGUGAGCUUUUUCAUCAUCGGUCUGUCCAGAACUUGGUGUGUUCAUCGUAAAUAACAUAGCAUUUACUUGACCUGGUUAUGGUCAUGGUGUGGCGUGUGUAUGUACCUAUUUAAUAUGGACACAUAUUUCUGCAUUAUAUGUAUGAUACGUUCCUUUACCCAUGCAGUCCGUUCUUGAUUAUCUGCAACAUGGUGAGCCCUCAUGAGAGUGUUCUCUUCUCAUGGACCUAGCAUGUAGCCUGUAACUCUGUGAAGCCUCUUCCCGCUCCGGAGCCACAGUCUCUCCUGUUUGCAGUUCCUCUUCAUCCCCAAGGAAGGGCCUUGAAAUAUGUCACUUUGUUUCCCUUUCAGCAGGGAUUGCGAAUGAGAAAGAUAGCUGCUUCCACAGGGUUUGAGGCUUCUGGCUCUGAAGGAUGAUGCAGCCCAUUCCUGGCCCAGAGGCAGCUUGGGAGCAGUUGUGCUCAAGGGCUCGUAGAGGGGAUAAAAUCCAGCCCUUGCCAAACAGGGACUUCAUACCUUGCUUAAAUUCCUGAGCUCCAGUGUUGCGAGGUCUUAGGUAAUUUGACACACAAAUAGAUGACAGCUGUGGGUUUUCACUGUCACUUGUCACUUUCCCAUCAUUGGUGUUACUGUUCCCUAUUGCGAGCCCAGAUAAUCAAGACCCGACUGUUUCUUGCCACUGGAUUCUGGAAGCCUUGCCCUUUCAACUGGAUUUAUGUUUGUUUCUGCUGCUGUGAACCCCAAAAGUAAUGCAGUAGGUUUUAAUUUAAAAUUGUUUAAUUCUAUUGUUGAUAAAUAUUUAUUGUAAUAAAAGUAAAGAGUAAAUAAUUUUUAAAUCCUUUUAA